rnacentral:lncRNA from 1 species
UCUGAAUUGUUCUAAGUUGGGGCCUUAGUGCUUCAUACCUGAACAUCCAAGGUCAUUUCCAUCCUUGCUUGGACCCUUUGUUAUCCGUUCAUGGUACUACGCGUAAUAGGCUGGUUUCUCCUAGCAUCAUAUAGAAGUCUCGCAAGCUUAGAUGCCUGAAGUCUGUUGAACAAUGUUUUAUUUUAUUUGCGAUCCGCCUGUGGAUCUUUUACUUUCCGUAUUGUAAUACUUGGAUAUUACUUCAUACCGGAUUGUAAUAUAUUU